rnacentral:rRNA from 1 species
UACGGGGGGAGCAAGCGUUGUUCGGAUUUACUGGGCGUAAAGGGCGCGUAGGCGGCCAGCACAAGUCAGUUGUGAAAUCUCCGAGCUUAACUCGGAAAGGUCAACUGAUACUGUGCGGCUAGAGUGCGGAAGGGGCAACUGGAAUUCUUGGUGUAGCGGUGAAAUGCGUAGAUAUCAAGAGGAACACCUGCGGCGAAGGCGGGUUGCUGGGCUGAUGAACUGACGUGAUGCGCGAAAGCCAGGGGAGCGAACGGG